CCCGGCCAAGAUGGCGGCUGUUCACCUCCGAAAUGCAAACCAUUUACCUUCAAGUUAUUUUUCAAGGUGCUCGCUUCUCUCUGGAAGGGUUUAUUCUCGGUCUGAAUCCCUCUGUCCAGCUCCUGCAGCCUUACCGUCUGGAAAAGCGCGUCUCUUCCCAUUUCCCACGGAGACAAACCCGGCACUGCGGCUGCACCGCCCUCGCCUGUAAGUAGUGGAAUUAAUGAAAACUGAAGCAUUUCUCUGAUGCCAGUUCUGUGCUAACUUCUCAGCUUCAAGCUCCAGCCAGAGAGUUUACAUUGAAGUACAAUGACACUGAUUCAGAGUUAUGGUCAAAUGAGAGCUUCAUCACUGCAGGUCCCUGAGGUAUGUGCUGUUAAUUUAUUCCACUUGUAUGUGUGGCUUCCCUCA